GUGGGGAAUAUUGGGCAAUGGGCGCAAGCCUGACCCAGCAACGCCGCGUGAAGGAAGAAGGCUUUCGGGUUGUAAACUUCUUUUGGCAGGGACGAAGAAAGUGACGGUACCUGCAGAAUAAGCUCCGGCUAACUACGUGCCAGCAGCCGCGGUAAUACGUAGGGAGCAAGCGUUAUCCGGAUUUACUGGGUGUAAAGGGCGCGUAGGCGGGGAUGCAAGUCAGAUGUGAAAUCUGGGGGCUCAACCCCCAAACUGCAUUUGAAACUGUAUUUCUUGAGUGAUGGAGAGGCAAGCGGAAUUCCUAGUGUAGCGGUGAAAUGCGUAGAUAUUAGGAGGAACACCAGUGGCGAAGGCGGCUUGCUGGACAUUAACUGACGCUGAGGCGCGAAAGCGUGGGGAGCAAACAGGAUUAGAAACCCUAGUAGUCC
rnacentral:rRNA from 1 species